GAAAUGCGAUAAGUAAUGUGAAUUGCAGAAUUCCGUGAAUCAUCGAAUCUUUGAACGCACAUUGCGCCCUCUGGUAUUCCGGGGGGCAUGCCUGUCCGAGCGUCAUUGCGAACCCCUCAAGCACGGCUUGUGUGAUGGGCCCUCCCGCGUCUUGGUCGUCAAGACGGGCCCGAAAUGCAGUGGCGGCUUCGCGGUUAUCCGAUCAGCCAGAGCGUACGGGGACUUUCUCUCUGUCACACGCCCGCGGCGCGGACCGACGCCUGUCGACCUUUAUUCAUCUUUUUCUCGGUUGACCUCGGAUCAGGUAGGGAUACCCGCUGAACUUAAGC
rnacentral:misc_RNA from 1 species